GCCGGUGAUGUCACUAGGUGGUAGGAGGUGAGCAAGUAUUAGGUUACUGUCUAGGUUGGAACAGGGGCAUGCUGGGAAGAAGGGUUUGUUCUUUGGUGGGAGCAACCAUCUUGGCAUGAUGUCACACAGGGGAGGGGGCAAGGCACCAUAGGAAGAGGGCAGCUACUGUACUUAAUAGCUGCUGAGGUGGUGGGAGACCUAUCAUUCCAGGCUUUUGUUUUAUGACAGUUGGGCGAAGGUCUCUUUUUCUGGAGCUGCUUCCUGUUGACAAGGGGCGAAGAUCGGGGCUAGACCUGGAUCUGAUGAGGCACGUGGCAAGUGGGGACCUCUUCCUUUUGCCGUACUGGCUGAUACCCUGCCAUGAUGAACUCUGUGACUGUCUGGCUGGUGAAUGCCCUCAAUCGUUUUUGCAAGAAAUUUUGAAAACAGCGAACCAGGCACGGUCCAAAACAGAGAAUUAAACAGAUAAUACUGAGGGGUCCCAAGAGUAGUAAUAGCCAGGUGAGCCAUGAGCUCCAGGAACCAAACGUACCCCACUAUUGAUUAGUACCUUGGGGGGCAUAUCUAUCUGGCCCAUUGAGUUUUAACUUUUUUCAUUUGACAUGUAAUUUUUUAUUUAUUAUUUACAUAGGUUUUACAGAGACAGCUGGAUGUUUAGGGGCUCAUUUGUUAUAGAAGUAAGAGACUGUUAUGGAAGAGAUCAUAGCUCCUGAUCUAAGGGCCCAUGUGUCAUGUCCUUGCUCUUAGAGAAUGAGUGGAAAAGUGAUAAACACAAUUUAUAUAAUCUUUAUAAUCCUUUUUUUGGGGGGGGAAUAUAAAAGGUGUAUGUAACUGAGCAAAUGUCUUUUGGAGGCCAACAUACCGAUGAGUGUAGUGUUACUAUGAACCUGACUUCUUCUUUAAAUUCAAGGCCAGGACAGUUUUAUUCCUGUAUCUCUCAGUUUUUGGAGGCCUCCUAGAUAUAUUUAAAAAUAAAGAGAACUGAUAACCUCAACAAGGACACGGGACGACUUAAG
rnacentral:lncRNA from 1 species